rnacentral:rRNA from 1 species
AAAGGAAUUGACGGGGACUCGCACAAGCGGUGGAGCAUGUGGUUUAAUUCGACGCAACGCGAAAAACCUUACCAGGCCUUGACAUCCCUCUGACUGGUGUAGAAAUACGCCUUUCCGGUUUUCGGACAGAGGAGACAGGUGGUGCAUGGUUGUCGUCAGCUCGUGUCGUGAGAUGUUGGGUUAAGUCCCGCAACGAGCGCAACCCUUAUCAUUAGUUGCUAACAUUAAGUUGAGAACUCUAAUGAGACUGCCAGCGACAAGUUGGAGGAAGGUGGGGAUGACGUCAAAUCAUCAUGCCCCUUAUGGCCUUGGCUACACACGUGCUACAAUGGCCGGUACAAAGAGUGGCAAAGCCGCGAGGUGGAGCAAAUCUCAAAAAACCGGUCUCAGUUCAGAUUGUAGUCUGCAACUCGACUACAUGAAGUCGGAAUCGCUAGUAAUCGUAAAUCAGCAUGUUACGGUGAAUACGUUCUCGAGUCUUGUACACACCGCCCGU